GACGUAGGGCGCGAGCGUUGUCCGGAUUUAUUGGGCGUAAAGAGCUCGUAGGCGGCUUGUCGCGUCGUUCGUGAAAACUUGGGGCUCAACCCCAAGCUUGCGGUCGAUACGGGCAGGCUAGAGUUCGGUAGGGGAGACUGGAAUUCCUGGUGUAGCGGUGAAAUGCGCAGAUAUCAGGAGGAACACCGGUGGCGAAGGCGGCAUCCUGGACCAACACUGACGCUGAGGAGCGAAAGCCAGGGGAGCAAACGGGG
rnacentral:rRNA from 1 species